GAAUCCUUCGGGAGGAAGAGGAUGUGGCUUCGCGGCGGACGGGUGAGUAACGCGUGGACAACCUGCCCUAUGCAGGGGGAUAACAUCCGGAAACGGGUGCUAAUACCGCAUAAGCGCACAGUACCGCAUGGUACGGUGUGAAAAGCUGAGGCGGCAUAGGAUGGGUCCGCGUUGGAUUAGGCAGUUGGCGGGGUAACGGCCCACCAAACCGACGAUCCAUAGCCGGCCUGAGAGGGUGGACGGCCACAUUGGGACUGAGACACGGCCCAGACUCCUACGGGAGGCAGCAGUGGGGAAUAUUGCACAAUGGGGGGAACCCUGAUGCAGCGACGCCGCGUGGGUGAGGAAGUACUUCGGUAUGUAAAGCCCUAUCAGCAGGGAAGAAAAUGACGGUACCUGACUAAGAAGCCCCGGCUAACUACGUGCCGGCAGCCGCGGUAAUACGUAGGGGGCAAGCGUUAUCCGGAUUUACUGGGUGUAAAGGGAGCGUAGACGGCGUGCCAAGUCUGGUGUGAAAGGCCGGGGCUCAACCCCGGGACUGCAUUGGAAACUGGCAUGCUGGAGUGCCGGAGGGGCAAGCGGAAUUCCUAGUGUAGCGGUGAAAUGCGUAGAUAUUAGGAGGAACACCGGUGGCGAAGGCGGCUUGCUGGACGGUAACUGACGUUGAGGCU
rnacentral:rRNA from 1 species